UACAUUUUGGUGUAAGGUGCACGUGAGUUUUUGAUUCUUUAAGUAUUAGUUUAAUUCUAUUAAAUGUAA
rnacentral:tRNA from 1 species